GGGCAUGUGGUGUAGUUGGUUAUCACGCUCGCUUAGCAUCCCAUAGCUUGCGAGAGGGGUCCGGUUCAAUCCCGGACAUGUCCA